UACGAAGGGGGCUAGCGUUGCUCGGAAUCACUGGGCGUAAAGCGCACGUAGGCGGAUUGCUAAGUCAGGGGUGAAAUCCUGGAGCUCAACUCCAGAACUGCCUUUGAUACUGGCGAUCUUGAGUCCGGGAGAGGUGAGUGGAACUGCGAGUGUAGAGGUGAAAUUCGUAGAUAUUCGCAAGAACACCAGUGGCGAAGGCGGCUCACUGGCCCGAUACUGACGCUGAGGCGCGAAAGCGUGGGGAGCAAACAGG
rnacentral:rRNA from 1 species